GAUGAACGCUGGCGGCGUGCCUAAUGCAUGCAAGUCGUACGCAUCGUGCUUGCACGAUGAGUGGCGCACGGCUGAGUAACACGUGGGUGACCUGCCCUGGCGUGGGGGACAACGGGCCGAAAGGUUCGCUAAUCCCGCAUACGUUCCUUCGGGAAGAAAGCAGUAAUGCGCGCUAGGAGGGGCCUGCGGCCCAUCAGGUAGUUGGUAAGGUAAGAGCUUACCAAGCCGAUGACGGGUACCUGGUCUGAGAGGACGAUCAGGCAGACUGGGACUGAGACACGGCCCAGACUCCUACGGGAGGCAGCAGCAAGGAAUUUUCCGCAAUGGGCGAAAGCCUGACGGAGCAACGCCGCGUGCAGGAAGACGGCCUUCGGGUUGUAAACUGCUUUUGUUGGGGAAGACAUGGACGGUACCCAACGAAUAAGCCCCGGCUAACUCCG
rnacentral:rRNA from 1 species